rnacentral:rRNA from 1 species
GAAGGCUAUGUUGGCCGGGCGACGGUUGUCCCGGUUUAAGCGUGUAGGCUGGUUUUCCAGGCAAAUCCGGAAAAUCAAGGCUGAGGCGUGAUGACGAGGCACUACGGUGCUGAAGCAACAAAUGCCCUGCUUCCAGGAAAAGCCUCUAAGCAUCAGGUAACAUCAAAUCGUACCCCAAACCGACACAGGUGGUCAGGUAGAGAAUACCAAGGCGCUUGAGAGAACUCGGGUGAAGGAACUAGGCAAAAUGGUGCCGUAACU